UUAUAUAGCUUUGACAGAGACCUACCUAGAAAAUACAGUUUGCGUUGAAUGGGGAGGGAUGAGGAGCGAGAAGCAAGUUGAUAUCAACUAGGGACUGCUGUUUGUGAUGUACAUGGUAAGUAUGAAAAGGGCGCUAGAGGGAACCAGCAGAAGCUUGAUGUGGGCGUGUUGUUUGAGCAUACUUGAUGAAAAAAGAGAGCGCUACGAAGACGAGGACGAAAGAACAACAUGUACGACAGACAAGGCGCAAUUUUGGGAAGCAAUUUUGGGUUUUAUCUCUCAUACAAACAGGUGGUUAAAAUAGUAGAGCAGUAGCUUCCAGGUUCGUUUUAUGCGGACGACAUUGUGUUGCUAGCUAACAAGCGGAGUGUUAUGCAGCGCCUGGAGAAUAUAUGUGCACAUGAAGGUGAGAAUUUAACAUUUGAAAUUUAGCGUUAGGAAAUCAGCUUUUAUGGUAAACAGUACUCAAUGAAAACAGUGAACAGACAGUAUCAAUACAGGGCCAGGAAAUACCUCGAGUAAAAGAACACAAAUACCUCAGUGUACACUAAAAAAAAAUCCACGCUUAAUCUCACGCUAAACUGUGAGUUUUAGCGUGACGCGCACGUAAGUGAGGCGCGGACAAAGACAAUUGCACACGGUAAUAACAGGUGUACAAUAAUGAACAAGUACAAAAGGAAACAAAACAAGAUUAUACAAUAUUUAUACAAUACCCCCAAAAAAGAAAACAACCUACAUGCUAACGUGCAUAGCACCCAAAGUACUGUUCGACGCAUUGAAGAGGUCAAAAUUAUUGUUUACAUGAGCUAUAUACAUAUUCGUAUAGAGCUACCAAUCGCUCCAAAAUAUUACACAGACGCACGCACGCACGCACGUGCACAGCACACACGCCAAAAGGAAACGGCGACGCGCUCACAGGAAGCGCCUGACAAAAAAAAGGAAAAGUGUGGGGAACCGAGGUCGUAUGCGCUGUCGCAUCUCCCUCUCCCAGAAGGAAUGAAGAGGUUCUUGGAAAGCAGGGACGGGCGAUUCUCUCUGUCAGCAUCAGCUCCCACCAGCGAGGACGGGGCGAGAAAGCGAAGCGGGACUUUCCUUGCUGUCUAUUUUUUCUUCGUCCCGCUCAACGCCGGCUGCCCGCAGGGGCGCAGGCGAGUUCCCGCCAAAUGGCGCGGGGGCGCAAGCAGUUGCGUGAGUUGCCGCCAAAUGCUAGCUCUGGAUGCCAGCUCGUUCCGCGUCUCUUGGUAGACUAGUUGGUGCAUUUCUGUUAUCAUGGACUGCGCAUAUAAACGCAAACUACACAAAAGUGACAUGGACAAGAACAGCGCAAGCCCUUCCCAUGCAGUGCAGCCGCCGUAUCUCGCCGUUCAAGAUAUGCGUACUCGUAAGUGGCAUUUUAAUUUCACGUUGUGUAAUGCAUGACUGUCUUUUUCAAGUGAACAAAGGUCGCUUUGUAUUGUGUAAAUGGUUUUGCAACGUAUGAUAAACUCCUUGUCUUUCGGGCUUAUUUUUUCUGACAGGAAGAAAAAAAAAAAGAGGCUUUACAUGAGAACGGAUCAAGCGUUCGAGAGUUGGGACAGGGAAAUGUGAGACGUACUUUCAUGUAUAUAUUUCUAAUAUUAUUUUUUCGUCUUUUAUUCUCGUUAAUUUUUCUCUAGGAAACACUGGAACGACACUGCUUAAAUUGAAGCACAGUGUGCGAAUGACCUGCUACGCUCGGAACUGUUAUCACCAUUCGGGAAGAAAUUGAGUAAGAAUGGAUUGUUAGUGGCGCGCUUCACCGCAUGUGGACUAGAGUAGAUCUAGGAACAUCAGACAAGAAGACACGUAUGUGAAACCCUGCGGAUAGCCCAUAUGUGAACUUUUUUUCCAGAUACGGAGGAACGGACACCGGUCGUGCCGUGAGCACUAUUCUGCAGGGCAUACUUACAAAUGAAGCUGCACCCCUAGCUGCACUGCAGUUCAGCUGGAAAGGGUCGCAGGGGAGGAAGCACGCCUUCGUGAAGCUCAUGGCCAUCACGAAUAUAACAUCUGUGAGGAGCACGUUCCCUGACGCUUCACUAGCAUCAGUGGCUGGAGUCGCAAAACGCUGGUUGGUUGGAGCAGCUGACAGGGAUGGAGGCCGGAAUGAAAGAAGGCGCCGUGACCCUUCUUCAAGCCCACCAAAUAUGAACUAGUGUUUGAAACUUGUGAACGUGUCGGUGUACAUAUACAAUUACAAGAAAUAAAGACCUGUAUCAGAAUCUUUUGCCUGGCAUUUAUGUGGCAUGAAAAGUACAAAAAAGCGUUCGCUUUCGUGUGGUACUUCUAUGCCGGCC